rnacentral:rRNA from 1 species
UCUGGAUUAUAAACUUAUUUACCUGAGCACUAUGAAUAGAAGAUUCUGUGUUAAUUUAAAACUCAAAAGGCUUGGCGGUGUUUUAGACUUUUCAGGGGAACCUGUCUCUUAAUCGAUAGUCCACGAUAGACCUAACUUUAUUUUAGGGUAUGUAUACCGUCGUCAACAGGUGACUUUUAAAAAAAUAAAAGUUAGCAAGUAAAAAAAUUUAUUUUUUAUGUCAGAUCAAGGUGCAGCUUAUAAAAAAGUGAGGAUGGGUUACAAUUAAUAAAAUUUUAAUUACGAAGAUGUUGAUGAAAUUCAUAUUUGAAGGAGGACUUGAAAGUAAAAAUUUAAUUAUAUAGAUGUUUUGAAUAUAGCUCUGAAACGUGCACACAUCGCCCGUCGCUCUCGUUGAAAAAUGAGAUAAGUCGUAACAUAGUAAUGGUAACGGAAGUUGCCGUUAGAUG